AGCUGCUGGGUGCCUUUUCACUCCCUCCCUUUCUCUCUGCAGUAAUCUAAUUAACAGCUUGUUGACUUUGCUUAAAAUUUUGAUAUUUUUCAGCGGGGUAUGCUGACGGUGAUAAAAUUCUAAGGAACAGAGUGUAAUGUUGCAACAUCUUUUGCAUUUGGUCCUGUUCUGUUCUGCUAUGUAAUUUGAGGACUCUGAUUAACAUCACAAAUUUUAUCUUAAGAAUCAGCCAGCAUGAUUCAAGAUAGUAAAAGAAGCUGUUGUUGAAGGGAAUAGAGAAGAUAGAAUCAGUGCUUUACCAAGAAGCAUUAUAUAUUAUAUCUUUGAGGUCUUAUCGGUUCAAGAUGCAGCAAGAACUAGUGUUUUAUCCACAAACUGGAGAUAUAUUUGGACCAUGCUUCCUAAUAUUGUGUUGGAUAAGCUCCUUUGCAAUAAACAGAGGCGGAUCUAGGAUUUUUAGUAUAUGAGUGCACAAUCAAAAAAAGAAAAAAAAUAUAUUAAGUGGAAAUGAUCCCUAUUACUCUAGAUAAAUAACACAACCUUCAACCAAGUACCCUAAUCAACCUUCUUGGAGUAUGUGUGCCAACAGUUAAUAUUAUACCAAUUUAAAAAAAAAUAUAUAUAUACAUAAAAUAUUAAUUUUGCCGAGAGACCAUGGGUUCACAUGCCCCGUAAUCUUACCUAUACAUCCGCCCCUGGCAAUAAAUUAGCAAAAAGAUCUCAUUCUUUUUUCAACUAAACAGUAGGUUGGAUUCUCUUACAGCAUAUUGGAGACAUCGUGAUUUUUGUUCUUGAUGUUUCAGGAGUAAAUUUGUCUUCAUAUGCAAAUAUUGAUAGAUGGAUGUAGUAUGUCACCAAAAAUGGUGUCAAGGAGCUAACCCUAAACAUGCCAGAUAUUACUACUUAUAGACUCCCUUCGCAUAUAUUUAAUUGUCCAACCCUGACAUAUUUGGAUCUCCACAACUGUGUAUUCAAACCACCAAAUACUUUUCUAGGCUUUCAGAAUCUUGCAGACCUCCAUCUGAAUAAACCCCAGAGUUUUGUGUUAUCAAUGCCCCCCUUCUUGCCAAUUUGUACUUGAUAUACUGUAACGGCACGCAAUACCUAAACAUGGCCUCACCCACUGCCGGAGGCAGGAUAUUCACGAAGGGGUUCAAAAAAAAAAAUUUGCGUUGAGGUUUUGAACCCUCUUGACUGAACUAUACUUUUGGGUUGUGUUAAGGGGGUUCAAAACUUAAUAUAUAGAGGUAAAAAACAGAUUUUGCUUUAUAUAUACAGUGUAUUUUUUCGGCGAGGGGGUUCGGGUGAACCCCUUCCGCCCCCCUAAAUCCACCCCUGGCCUCACCGUUGCUGGAGUUCUUGACUGUUCGUCAGAGUCACUAUGAUCUUGAACUAAAUUGCUUUACAACAUGAUUUAAGAGUAUUGGACCUUGUGGUUAAUAAUCCAAAACAUGAUGAAAGAUCAACUUUGGGAAAGCUUCUUUUUAACUUGCCUACGCUUGAGGAUCUUGCUUUGGGCUCAAUUGACCUUGAGCUUUUGAGUGCAGACACAGUUUCGAAGCGGCUUCCUUGUACGCUCGACUGCUUGUGGUAUGUAAGGUUGGGUGUAUGCUUCGGCAAAAUGGGUCAGACUUCUUGCUCUCUAGAGUUAAUUAAGAGUACCCCCAAUUUGAGUAAACUUGAGAUUUGGGCCUAUGAUACCAGCGACAAUGCUGAAGCAGUUUAGAAAUAUCUAGGCACACCAACCUGCUUGGAACGGCCACUCAACCAGCUGAAAGAUGUAGUGAUACAUUGGUUUAACGGUUCAAAAACUGAACUGCUUUUCGUAAAGCUAUUGUUAGCUCAUAGUCCAUCUUUGAUAAGGAUGAGCAUUAAGCGUUAUAGAGCCUUUGGUUCCGACGAAGAAAGAAAUAUCACCACAGAAUUGAUGCGUUUCCCUAGAGCAUCUCCAAAGGCUGAGCUUUUUUAUUUGUCAAGUGUGUCUUAAACAGUAAGGUAAUGUAUUUGGACCCGUUUCUUUCUUGAAACAUUGUCACAUGUGCAAGAAAAUGUUAAAAUAUGUGCCCCAAAUUAGUUACUUAAGGAUUUCAAAUUCCAUAUAGUUUAAUGUACUCAUGAACUACUUUGCUCAUUACUUUUAAGGUUUUAGUUGGAUACUUGAAGUCUCUCAUGGUAGUAGUAGAGUAAUUCAUGCUCUUUGCUAUGUUACCACCAUGUUAAAGAUGCUGGCUUUACAAUUACUAGCAAACCAGUAGAGCUUGAGUAAUAUUUCCAAUGAACUUCAGUUAAAGAUUCUUGGUUCAGGGCAAUUUCUGCGAAGCAUUCAAGAUUUGUCAAAAGCUUCCAAGAAUAAAUCACUGUCCAAGUUAUCUAACACCAUCAUCUGGUUAAACUAAUUCUCUGAUUUACUUUAAAAUGAGCUGGUUCUUUAGCAAAUACAAACAUGUAUCGUGGGACAAAGGGGUGACUGGAAUACAUUAUACACGGAUAUGUUAAAUCUCGAAGCUUUGAUGGUUAUUAUGCGAAACCGGUGUCCACCUGCGUGGCAACCUGUAGGAUACCUUUUUUAUUAAGCUAACAGUUUUUCUAAUAUUCUUUGUUAGCACGGAAACAGUAUUCUAAUAAAGGGUCUUAUUGUUGCUACUUGAAGCUACAGAUGUUCUGUUAUAUUUUGAGAGUUGAUUGGUCUACUCCGUAAUUACCUACUCUUAGACAAAGGGGAUAUGCUGUAGUUUUACGUCUGAACUCUGAUGGUGCAAGCAAUAAAUUAGGAAGACGUCAAAGAUUAAGCAAAUUGUUCAAUUUUCUAUAGGUGAUUACAAGGUUGAAAGCAUGUAUAUAAGGCUUUUGUUCACCAUUCCCAGAGGCAGACCAUAAAGGGGUAGCACACACAACAUUUUAGGUAGCAAGUUCCUACUAUGAAGUCUGGUGAAUCAGCUAAUAAGGAUUGUAUUCCUUUAGAAUUGGACGCUUCAGUCAUGUAGUGUGUUUUUGUAUUAACAGUACUGAAUUCAUUAAAAGGAUGAAAGACUUUAUUAAGCAACCUUGACAUUGUUUUUAGGAGUUUACUUUGAAUAUUGUUGUGCUCUAGGUGAAUGUCGCGAAAGUGCAAAACACAAAAAAUGAACUCGGGCCCGGCCAUGUUUAAGUGAUUAUAUAUGCCUAUUUACUGCUGCAAGUUUGCUUGAUCUGACAUUAUAUCGACUUCCUUGCAGGAUGAUCUCCAGGUUAAAGUUUGUAUUUUGAGGGCAUCGGUAUAGUUAAUUUUCCACGCGUGUGGCAUAGUUAUUUGCUUGUUUUGCCAUGUCACAGUUGUUGAUUGUCAAAAGUCCCACAUCGGUGGGUGACACUUUGGGAUUGAGAAUUUUUCCCUA